rnacentral:misc_RNA from 1 species
GAUGAAGAACGUAGCGAAAUGCGAUAAGUAAUGUGAAUUGCAGAAUUCAGAGAAUCAUCGAAUCUUUGAACGCAUCUUGCGCUCCUUGGUAUUCUGAGGAGCAUGCCUGUUUGAGUGUCAUUAAAUUCUCAACUACACUGACUUUGAAUUGGUGUGGCUUGGAUUUGGGGGGAAAAUUGUUGUGGGCUUUUUGUAUAGUCUGCUCCCCUGAAAUUGAUUAGCGGUACCUUUGUGGAACUGUCUACAGGUGUGAUAAUUAUCUACAUCUUAGACAUCUGCUGGAAUGCUGCUUUCUAAACCUUACUUGUAUUGACAAUCUUGACCUCAAAUCAGGUAGGACUACCCGCUGAACUUAAGCAUAUCAAUAAGCGGAGGA